AAUGAACGCUGGCGGCGUGCUUAACACAUGCAAGUCGAACGGGAAACCUUUUAUUGAAGCUUCGGCAGAUUUAGAUUGUUUCUAGUGGCGGACGAGUGAGUAACGCGUGGGUAACCUGCCUUAUACAGGGGGAUAACAGUCAGAAAUGACUGCUAAUACCGCAUAAGCGCACAGAGCUGCAUGGCUCGGUGUGAAAAACUCCGGUGGUAUAAGAUGGACCCGCGUUGGAUUAGCUAGUUGGGGAGGUAACGGCCCACCAAGGCGACGAUCCAUAGCCGGCCUGAGAGGGUGAGCGGCCACAUCGGGUAUGAGACACGGCCCAGACUCCUACGGGAGGCAGCAGUGGGGAAUAUUGCACAAUGGGGGAAACCCUGAUGCAGCGACGCCGCGUGAAGGAAGAAGUAUCUCGGUAUGUAAACUUCUAUCAGCAGGGAAGAAAAUGACGGUACCUGACUAAGAAGCCCCGGCUAACUACGUGCCAGCCGCCGCGGUAACAC
rnacentral:rRNA from 1 species